GAUGAACGCUGGCGGCGUGCCUAAUACAUGCAAGUCGAGCGAACGGACGAGAAGCUUGCUUCUCUGAUGUUAGCGGCGGACGGGUGAGUAACACGUGGAUAACCUACCUAUAAGACUGGGAUAACUUCGGGAAACCGGAGCUAAUACCGGAUAAUAUUUUGAACCGCAUGGUUCAAAAGUGAAAGACGGUCUUGCUGUCACUUAUAGAUGGAUCCGCGCUGCAUUAGCUAGUUGGUAAGGUAACGGCUUACCAAGGCAACGAUGCAUAGCCGACCUGAGAGGGUGAUCGGCCACACUGGAACUGAGACACGGUCCAGACUCCUACGGGAGGCAGCAGUAGGGAAUCUUCCGCAAUGGGCGAAAGCCUGACGGAGCAACGCCGCGUGAGUGAUGAAGGUCUUCGGAUCGUAAAACUCUGUUAUUAGGGAAGAACAUAUGUGUAAGUAACUGUGCACAUCUUGACGGUACCUAAUCAGAAAGCCACGGCUAACUACGUGCCAGCAGCCGCGGUAAUACGUAGGUGGCAAGCGUUAUCCGGAAUUAUUGGGCGUAAAGCGCGCGUAGGCGGUUUUUUAAGUCUGAUGUGAAAGCCCACGGCUCAACCGUGGAGGGUCAUUGGAAACUGGAAAACUUGAGUGCAGAAGAGGAAAGUGGAAUUCCAUGUGUAGCGGUGAAAUGCGCAGAGAUAUGGAGGAACACCAGUGGCGAAGGCGACUUUCUGGUCUGUAACUGACGCUGAUGUGCGAAAGCGUGGGGAUCAAACAGGAUUAGAUACCCUGGUAGUCCACGCCGUAAACGAUGAGUGCUAAGUGUUAGGGGGUUUCCGCCUCUUAGUGCUGCAGCUAACGCAUUAAGCACUCCGCCUGGGGAGUACGACCGCAAGGUUGAAACUCAAAGGAAUUGACGGGGACCCGCACAAGCGGUGGAGCAUGUGGUUUAAUUCGAAGCAACGCGAAGAACCUUACCAAAUCUUGACAUCCUUUGACAACUCUAGAGAUAGAGCCUUCCCCUUCGGGGGACAAAGUGACAGGUGGUGCAUGGUUGUCGUCAGCUCGUGUCGUGAGAUGUUGGGUUAAGUCCCGCAACGAGCGCAACCCUUAAGCUUAGUUGCCAUCAUUAAGUUGGGCACUCUAAGUUGACUGCCGGUGACAAACCGGAGGAAGGUGGGGAUGACGUCAAAUCAUCAUGCCCCUUAUGAUUUGGGCUACACACGUGCUACAAUGGACAAUACAAAGGGCAGCGAAACCGCGAGGUCAAGCAAAUCCCAUAAAGUUGUUCUCAGUUCGGAUUGUAGUCUGCAACUCGACUACAUGAAGCUGGAAUCGCUAGUAAUCGUAGAUCAGCAUGCUACGGUGAAUACGUUCCCGGGUCU
rnacentral:rRNA from 1 species